UACGUAGGGGGCAAGCGUUGUCCGGAAUCAUUGGGCGUAAAGAGCGUGUAGGCGGUUCGGUAAGUCCGCUGUAAAAGUCCAGGGCUCAACCCUGGAAAGCCGGUGGAAACUGUCGAACUAGAGUCCGGAGGAGGCGGAGUGGAAUUCCUGGUGUAGCGGUGAAAUGCGCAGAUAUCAGGAGGAACACCAAUGGCGAAGGCAGCUCGCUGGGACGGUACUGACGCUGAGACGCGAAAGCGUGGGGAGCAAACAGG
rnacentral:rRNA from 1 species